rnacentral:tRNA from 4 species
GCGGGUGUAGUUCAACGGUAGAACUCCAGCCUUCCAAGCUGGCGGCGGGGGUUCGACUCCCCUCACCCGCUCCA